UACAGAGGUCCCAAGCGUUUGUUCGGAUUCAUUGGGCGUAAAGGGUGCGUAGGUGGCGCCAUAAGUCAGGUGUGAAAUUUCGGAGCUUAACUCCGAAACUGCAUUUGAUACUGUGGUGCUCGAGGACUGGAGAGGAGACGUGGAAUUUACGGUGUAGCAGGUGAAAUGCGUAGAGAUCGAUAAGGAAGACCAGUGGCGAAGGCGGGU
rnacentral:rRNA from 1 species